UUGGAGGGCAAGUCUGGUGCCAGCAGCCGCGGUAAUUCCAGCUCCAAUAGCGUAUAUUAAAGUUGUUGUGGUUAAAAAGCUCGUAGUUGAAUUUCGAGAUCAAAUUGUUGGUCGUGCCUCGGUACGUACUGGCAUUAUUGAUUUCUCCCUUCUGAAGAACCACGAUGUCAUUAAUUUGGUGUCGUGGGGAAUCAGGACUGUUACUUUGAAAAAAUUAGAGUGUUUAAAGCAGGCUCACGCUUGAAUACAUUAGCAUGGAAUAAUGAAAUAGGACGUUUGAUUCUAUUUUGUUGGUUUCUAGGAUCGACGUAAUGAUUAAUAGGGAUAGUUGGGGGCAUUAGUAUACAAUUGUCAGAGGUGAAAUUCUUGGAUUUAUUGAAGACUAACUACUGCGAAAGCAUUUGCCAAGGAUGUUUUCAUUAAUCAAGAACGAAAGUUAGGGGAUCGAAGACGAUCAGAUACCGUCGUAGUCUUAACCAUAAACUAUGCCGAUUAGGGAUCGGAUGAUGUUAAUUUUUUAAUGACUCAUUCGGCACCUUACGGGAAAC
rnacentral:rRNA from 1 species